ACGGCAGCACGGGGGCAACCCUGGUGGCGAGUGGCGAACGGGUGAGUAAUGCAUCGGAACGUGCCCAGUAGUGGGGGAUAACGCGUCGAAAGAUGUGCUAAUACCGCAUACGCACUACGGUGGAAAGCGGGGGAUCGUAAGACCUCGCGCUAUUGGAGCGGCCGAUGUCCGAUUAGCUAGUUGGUGGGGUAAUGGCCUACCAAGGCGACGAUCGGUAGCUGGUCUGAGAGGAUGAUCAGCCACACUGGGACUGAGACACGGCCCAGACUCCUACGGGAGGCAGCAGUGGGGAAUUUUGGACAAUGGGCGCAAGCCUGAUCCAGCCAUGCCGCGUGAGUGAAGAAGGCCUUCGGGUUGUAAAGCUCUUUCGGCCGGAACGAAAUCGUUCAGGCUAAUACCUUGAAUGGAUGACGGUACCGGAAGAAGAAGCACCGGCUAACUACGUGCCAGCAGCCGCGGUAAUACGUAGGGUGCAGGCGUUAAUCGGAAUUACUGGGCGUAAAGCGUGCGCAGGCGGCUUCCUAGGUCAGAUGUGAAAUCCCCGGGCUUAACCUGGGAACUGCGUUUGAAACUAGAAGGCUAGAGUGCGGCAGAGGGGGGUGGAAUUCCACGUGUAGCAG
rnacentral:rRNA from 1 species